ensembl:lncRNA
UCAAAACCCAACAGGAGAUAACUAGGGGUCACCUCUUCAAAACCCAACAGGAGAUAACUAGGAUCACCUCUUCAAAACCCAACAGGAGAUAACUAGGAAUCACCUCUUCAAAACCCAACAGGAGAUAACUAGGGGUCACCUCUUCAAAACCCAACAGGAGAUAACUAGGAUCACCUCUUCAAAACCCAACAGGAGAUAACUAGGAAUCACCUCUUCAAAACCCAACAGGAGAUAACUAGGAGUCACCUCUUCAAAACCCAACAGGAGAUAACUAGGGGUCACGUCUUCAAAACCCAACAGGAGUCACC